GCCUGGGUGGCUCAGUCGGUUGAGCGUCCGACUUCGGCUCAGGUCGUGAUCUCGCGGUCCGUGGGUUCGAGCCCCACGUCGGGCU
rnacentral:tRNA from 1 species